rnacentral:rRNA from 1 species
GACGAACGCUGGCGGCGUGCUUAACACAUGCUGGUCGAACGGAAAGGCCCUGCUUUUGUGGGGUGCUCGAGUGGCGAACGGGUGAGUAACACGUGAGUAACCUGCCCUUGACUUUGGGAUAACUUCAGGAAACUGGGGCUAAUACCGGAUAGGAGCUCCUGCUGCAUGGUGGGGGUUGGAAAGUUUCGGCGGUUGGGGAUGGACUCGCGGCUUAUCAGCUUGUUGGUGGGGUAGUGGCUUACCAAGGCUUUGACGGGUAGCCGGCCUGAGAGGGUGACCGGCCACAUUGGGACUGAGAUACGGCCCAGACUCCUACGGGAGGCGGCAGUGGGGAAUAUUGCACAAUGGGCGGAAGCCUGAUGCAGCAACGCCGCGUGCGGGAUGACGGCCUUCGGGUUGUAAACCGCUUUCGCCUGUGACGAAGCGUGAGUGACGGUAAUGGGUAAAGAAGCACCGGCUAACUACGUGCCAGCAGCCGCGGUGAUACGUAGGGUGCGAGCGUCGUCCGGAUUUAUUGGGCGUAAAGGGCUCGUAGGUGGUUGAUCGCGUCGGAAGUGUAAUCUUGGGGCUUAACCCUGAGCGUGCUUUCGAUACGGGUUGACUUGAGGAAGGUAGGGGAGAAUGGAAUUCCUGGUGGAGCGGUGGAAUGCGCAGAUAUCAGGAGGAACACCAGUGGCGAAGGCGGUUCUCUGGGCCUUUCCUGACGCUGAGGAGCGAAAGCGUGGGGAGCGAACAGGCUUAGAUACCCUGGUAGUCCACGCUGUAAACGGUGGGUACUAGGUGUGGGGUCCAUUCCACGGGUUCCGUGCCGUAGCUAACGCUUUAAGUACCCCGCCUGGGGAGUACGGCCGCAAGGCUAAAACUCAAAGGAAUUGACGGGGCCCCGCACAAGCGGCGGAGCAUGCGGAUUAAUUCGAUGCAACGCGUAGAACCUUACCUGGGUUUGACAUGGAUCGGGAGUGCUCAGAGAUGGGUGUGCCUCUUUUGGGGUCGGUUCACAGGUGGUGCAUGCCUGUCGUCAGCUCGUGUCGUGAGAUGUUGGGUUAAGUCCCGCGACGAGCGCAACCCUUGUUCACUGUUGCCAGCACGUUAUGGUGGGGACUCAGUGGAGACCGCCGGGGUCAACUCGGAGGAAGGUGGGGAUGACGUCAAGUCCUCAUGCCCCUUAUGUCCAGGGCUUCACGCAUGCUACAAUGGCUGGUACAGAGAGUGGCGAGCCUGUGAGGGUGAGCGAAUCUCGGAAAGCCGGUCUCAGUUCGGAUUGGGGUCUGCAACUCGACCUCAUGAAGUCGGAGUCGCUAGUAAUCGCAGAUCAGCAACGCUGCGGUGAAUACAAUCCCGGGGCU